UACGUAGGGGGCUAGCGUUGUCCGGAAUCAUUGGGCGUAAAGAGCGUGUAGGCGGUUCGGUAAGUCCGCUGUGAAAGUCCAGGGCUCAACCCUGGAAUGCCAGUGGAAACUGCCGAGCUAGAGUCCGGAAGAGGCGAGUGGAAUUCCUGGUGUAGCGGUGAAAUGCGCAGAUAUCGGGAAGAACACCCGUGGCGAAGGCGGCUCUCUGGGACGGUACUGACGCUGAGACGCGAAAGCGUGGGGAGCGAACAGG
rnacentral:rRNA from 1 species